UACGGGGGGUGCGAGCGUUAAUCGGAAUUACUGGGCGUAAAGGGUGUGUAGGUGGUUUUAUAAGUUAUCUGUGAAAGCCCUGGGCUCAACCUGGGAAGGUCAGAUAAGACUGUAGGACUAGAGUAUAGGAGAGGGUAGUGGAAUUUCCGGUGUAGCGGUGAAAUGCGUAGAGAUCGGAAGGAACACCAGUGGCGAAGGCGGCUACCUGGCCAGAUACUGACACUGAGACACGAAAGCGUGGGGAGCAAACAGG
rnacentral:rRNA from 1 species